rnacentral:lncRNA from 12 species
ACUCAUCUGCAAUACAUUGAAUUUGCAUUGUGUUUUUCAGGCCUGCCUUUCCCUGCUUGCACUCUGCAAAGCUAAACUCAGCAGUAAGGAAGGACAGAGGGUGAAAAGAUUUCCAGGGACUUCUCAUCAGCUUGUGCAGAACAUUCAGGAUGCAGGGAUGAGCCAGCAGGUGGCUGUAGAUGGCAGUGGCUGCCUGGAGUGGGGCAGGUCCCAGGAUGCCAGAGGAAACCUGGAGUAGGCUCACCAGAGUGACUAAUACCAGCACCUCGGGCCAGGACAGCCUUGCUGUGGUCAUAGACCUCACCCGUGGGGAUCAAGCAAGUCUUCAGCUGCCAAGGUUGGUGUCAUCAGAGCAUCCAGAUGCCAGCUGGAUACCUAAUACAGGUUUUACUGGCAAGAAAUUAAUGAUGUCCUUGGAAUCACUGAUUACUUUUCCUGGCAAAAUCUGUCGGGGUUCGUCAUCCAUCACCUCUCUGUAGCAUCUUCAUACUCCUGCUGGAGACAAUUUCCCAGGAUACCUGAACUGGAAGAGAGGCUGUGGUGGAGAUAGCUGGAGUUUUCUUAAAGGAGAGCUGAUCUGUGUGUUAAGCCUGAUUGAUGUGUUCCAGUGAAUCCCUGUGGUCUGGGACCUGUGAGAUGACGGAUCGUCUUAACAUUUCUAGUCCUGAAUAUCUGAGCACUGUGUACGCUCUGACAGCUGGUGA